UGCCAUGAGGACUGUCGCCGGCCCACCUGCGGCCAUCUUAAGUUCGGGGGAAACCAAAGGCCCGGGGCACCCAACUCGAAGGCCGGGCAUCAACCACAGUCCCGGAGGCUCGAGAGAGGAAGGCACCCCUAAGUCCUCUGCAGGAACCCCGCGUGGAGCUCAAUUAACAAAACCUCACCGCGGAGAGGCCCCGCGGCCGGCCGGGUGCCCUCAUCAAACAUGGCCGCCUAGGGAAGCGCGCCGUCACGUGACGCCCGCGCUCGCCCCGUGCCUCCCUCGGCGCCCGAGGUCUGGAUGGCGGCGCGCCCCUCCCCCCGCCGGGCUCCAGCACUCACUCUGGGGGGUAGAGCCGUAGCUCCUCGAUUUCUCCUAGGAAGGAAAAGAGCGUCCUCAUCUGCUCGCUGGUCACCGCCGACGAGAGGUUCGUCACCUGAAUCACCGUCGUAGGGAAGAGGCCGAAGCCUAAGCCCAAGCCGAAGCCGCCGCCGCUGUUCAUCCCGGCCUCGCUGCUGCUGCCUUCCCGCUCCCCAACGUCCACGACGCGUCAGCGACGGAGCCUGGGAAGCAGAGGCGCGCGGCCGCGAGCGCGCUCCCGAGAGCUAAUCCUCCGCGCCCGGGCACGUCUAGCCGCCCAUCGCGCAACUCUCCUGCUCCGGGGGCUGCGCGCGCCGGCCGGAAGCGUCGCCCUGGCAACGCGGCGGCUCCCCGCGGGUCCUGGCGGCCGCAGCCCUGGGGUCAGGUCGCCGGGACUGUUGCUAGGCGUCACUAGGUCUUCAGAGAGGUUUACCUGCUGCUGCAGUGAGGGUUGCGGAGGUUGUGCCUACAAACUCCAUCACUUCUCGAUGCUUCUGUCAGUUAAGCAGCUCGGCUCUUUCUCCACAUCAGGCGGAGGAACCCAGAGGCCUGGGCUGCAGUGGGUUUCAGGCUGGAGAGAGGGCUCAGCGGUUAAGAGCACUGACAGUUCUUCCAGAGGUCCUGAAUUCAAUUCCCAGCAAUCACAUGGUGGCUCACAGCCAUCGGUAAUGGGAUCUGAUGCCUUCUUCUGGUGUGCCUGAAGACAGCUACAGUGUACUCCUAUAUAAAUCUGAGGCAGAAUAAUCAAGAACCUGAGGCCAGUGUGGGCGACAUGAGGAUACCCUGACUAGAGAAACCAAGAACUGAGUUCAUUGGUAUGUAGCAGAACACUUAGCUGGGAUUCAUAAGCUGCCGAGUUAAAGUGGGAGGGAAGGGAGGAGAGAGAAGAGGAGAGGGAGAGAAAUGCAUCCUGUCUUGUAUAUGUGCAUGCACACCUGUGUUUGGAGCAAGACCCUCCCAGGAGCGAAGCACCAAGUCUUUACUUCUUCUAAACCAUGGGACUUUUUCUAUUCAGGAUCCAGAAGUCUCCUUGUCUGUGGUGGGCUAGCUGAGGGUUUGUGCUUCUUUGCUCCUCUUGCUGCAAACCCAGGGUCUGUUGCACACCAGGCAAGCCCUUCACCUCCAGCCAUAAGCAUUUUGAGUUUUGUCCUUAAUUGUUUCCAACUUGAUUCUAACAUAAGAAAGUUCCCUUAUAUUCCUAGACUUUAUUUUUUAUUUUUUGUCAUAAAUAGAUAUGAUAGUUAUCAAAUCCCCCUUUUUACUUACUGAUAUAAUUAUGUGGUAUUUCUAGGAAAAUUUUCACAUGGGCAUAAUGUAUGAUCCUUAUAUUUUGUUGAAAUUCUUAUCUUCAUGUUGAAUGUGUGUGUAAUUUAUUAUGUAUUGAUAGACAUGUAUUCAAAUGAUACAUUGUUUUUCCUUCAUUUGAGAAAGACUCUUAAUAUAUAACCCUGGCUGGUUUCAAACUUAUGAUUUCCUGACUGUGCCUCUGAUGGGUUGAUAUUCCAGAUAAGUGAAGUGGAAACUUAAGCAUUCUUUGGAAAGUCGGUUGGAUGGUAUUUUGCUGGGACAAACACAUGAAGGAACAUUUCGUUAAAGUGGACACAGGUGUGAAAGGCUAAGGCAGACUCGUGAAGGAACCUUUCCCUGAAGCAGACACAGGAGAGAGAUGUUCUGCUAAGAUAAGCACGUGAAAGGACACGUGAUGAAGGAUUCUUUGCUAACAACACACAUGUAUUGGUCUGCCUUACACUGCAUAGUUGAGCUGCAUUCGAAAGGACUCCAAGGACUGGGGUUGAUUAGAUGCACAUUCUGAGGCAAGACCCAUGCUGAGGCAAAGCACGUGAAGGACAUGAUGUAGGACUCCAUGGAGUGACAGAGACUGAGCUUGGCUUGCUGGUACAACUAGCUGUGCAACGCUAGUGAGUUUCAAGUCUUCCUGACCUUUGCUGAUCUUCACUUCCCUGAGAGAGGCACAGCUGAGAACUUCUCCUGGCCUCUGGGUCCCUCUUGCUGACUGGAGCCAAGGCUGAGGCAUGGCUGUCUCUGCUUGGUCCAGUCACCACUGUUGCUAACUGGACUCUACCGAACUGGACUGCUGCUGUAUCUGUGAGGUGUUUUCGAGUGGAUUGAGCUACCACUGCCUGCUGACCUGUGAAUUGAACUGCUGAUAUCCAGACAACACAGAUGGGAGUUGCUCCAGAAAAAACUUGCUAAACAGGCCCACUCUCCCCCUCCCCUCCCCUCCCCUCCUCUGCAUUGUUUCUUAUCUACUACCUCAAAUGGGUAGUAGGCUAAGAGAGAGGUUAAAGUGUUUAAGAACCAUGAUUUGAAAUAGGAUUUGAAAAAUUAAAAUUACAGGUAAGCAUCACAA